GGAGCAGUUUUGUGACUUGUUUUUAUGGCUAGUGGUAAUAGUCGCUUCCUAGAAGCCCCUCUCCAGCAUUCUGACUGAAGAGGGCACAAAUAUUCUGAAUUUUGUUUGGUAGCAGAUUUCCAAACCAAAAAAUAAGAUCAUAUCUAUGAUAUCAUAUCUAUGAUUGUCCUGUUUGUCCAAUGAAAUUUGCCUUAUUCUUUGAUAAAAUCAGGCAACAACAAAUUGGUUUGUUUGCAUCCUGACCAAAUAUGUCAGAAUUUAUGAGAUGACAUUUGCAUUCUAUUUGCAUCCUUCUCAUUAACAGUUUUUGUUACAGAUUGUGCAUAAACCACAAAACAUUAAAACGUUUGCAUGCAUUUUUCAAAAGAUACAAGGAAAAGAAAUAGUAAAGAAAGUUAGAGCACAGUUGGAUUCUAUAAAAACUGCUUUUUAGAGUCUUUCCUCAAUGCACUCUUCUGUAGUAAAUAUUAUUUUAUGAGUCUUCUAGGGUCAUAUAAUAAAUACAAUAAAUAAGACUUCUGUAAUGAAUAUUACAUUAUUACCCUUCUAGGCAUUUGGAUUGUUCCUGUGAGAUAGUUAGCUGAAAAUUUCUAGAAUAUCUCAACAGUUAAUGAAACAAACAUUAUAAGCAAGAAAGUUGUUCAGCUUGCAAACAUCAUAUUUUUACUUUUUUCUUUACACUGCAUAACAUUGUAUUUUCACUUUUUUUUUCACACUGAGAAAAGUUCCAGUAAGACUGCACUGACCUGACAAAGAAGACCAAAUUAUAAAAGGAUAAGUAGUUUGGGUUUUUUUCUUUUUUGUGAUGUCUUUCCUUGGGAGAAGAAUUAUUCAGAAGAAACUUUUUAUUGAAAUAAUUUCAUUGCAGAUGUGAAGCAGCAAAAAGCUCCAGGGGACUUGUAUUUUCAUGUUGUUCUCAAUGAUAUGAGCAGUAAGAGAGUGAAAUUAUCAUGUGAUUUAUGGGAUAAAGGGGUUAACUGGGGAGCUAAACCAGGUAAGAGAACAAGGUUGCUCCAGGGCUGGGGCCACUGUGGGCAAGAGUGAGUUGAUUGAGUGGAUUUGGAGAUUGUGUUCUCUCCUUUUUCUUGAGAUAUUCUAAAGAGUCAUGUUUCCAAAAAUGUUGCCUGCCAGUGAAUAAAGAAGGGCAGGGCUCUCAGCCCAGUGCUUCCCAUGAACAAAGUGUGUGAUUGCUUUGCCAUAACAAAGAACUGGAUUUGGGCUUCACCAAGUGCCUCCAUGUCUCUUCUAGCACGUUUUAAAACACAAAUCAGCUGAUCAGUCCUGCCUUGCUUUCCAGCCUUACCUCUUCUAGAGGUAGGUGUAAUCACAGGAGAAAAACAACAGCCCUGAAGGCUGGUGUAGGUGCUUGCCAGAUCACCACACUUCUUCUCAGUGUCUGCUUACAGACCUGACCUUCACUGGAAGAGCUGGGUGGACAUUUUCCAGUCACCAGAGCAAACAAUCAGCAGAGAGUUCAGCAUAAAAACAUGAAAAGCCAAGGGCUGCAAAACCAAAAGAAAACUGUCAAGAAGAGGGGAAAAAAACGAAGACAGAGAAGAAAUGUUGCUCAUUACCAGAUAAGCCACGGGGACUAAGUGACUUCCAGACAGAUUUGUAGCCCCCACAAUUCACAGGUGAAGAGAGAAUGAAGACCCACAUGGUUGUGCACACCUCAAGUCCCUUUCCCAAAGGGAGUUGCAGGCUUGUCCUGACCCUGGACACUUCUUGAGGGGGCUCAAUCUCCCCUAAGGUGUGGAGGAGAGCAUUCCCUUGGCUGAUACAGCUGCCUCCAGCCACAAUUCACAUUUCUGAGAAACCACAUGGAGGACACAGGGACUGCAAAGCCAUUGCUCAAUGUACUGAAGAAAACUUUGACAGAAGACAGUAAAACAAUAAUGAUGUUGGUGUGGAUGAUACUGAAGACUACACUUACAAAUUAGCACAUCUCCCUGAAGUUUUCUAAGCCCUUGGACACCUAAAGCUGAGGAACUGCUUUCUAUCAUGAGAGUGAUUGAGAAACUCGUGUGGCUAACCAAGAAACUUGAUUACUUCACUAUCUUAGUUGUUCAAGAAGCCCAGAAGAUAUCAACGAGUAGUGCAGAAGCUGAAAAACCAACAGCUGAGCUCAGAAAACAGGAUCUGACUAAAUUGCACCACAUGAGACCCUAAACUCCUAUUAACUUCCAAACCAGAGCAUUAAGUUUUCCAACCCUCUCUCAUCUCCAGUUAUUAUUUUCAAUUCUCUUCACCAUACAGAAAAUGGUGAAGAUAUGGACAUUUUUACAUAUCAAGCAUCUUCUGAUUUCUGAUUAGGGCAUCAUCACCUUUUCAGAGAAUCUCAGUUCAUCCUAGUUUUUGAAAAUUACCUUGAAAAGAACAAAAAGUUAUUCCAGAAUUUUCAUCAUAAUCCAAGUUUUGCAAUACUUUUCUUUCAAAUAAGUACAGCUUUUUUUAUGAGUACAGCUUUAUCUGUCAGACUGAAUGUAGAGGCAGGGUUCUUGUGCAAAGAACAUCUCACAGUAUGGCACCCUUGCCCAAACUUCAGGGCAGGAGUAUAAAAUUAUACUUAAUUCUGACUCUCAUUUUUAUUCAAAUGAUGAAUAGGAAAUCAACACUAUAUACUGUGCUUCAGGGUAUCUUCGUCAUAAGACUAUUUGUACCCAGAAAUGUAGAUAAACUAAACCUCAAUUAACCAAAUCUGGUUAUAAUCCUUCCCUAUGGGCACUCAGCAUAUUUAAAAAGAGGUAGCACUAUAACUUGGUAAUUUAGCUAAAAAAGAGCAAUAAAACUGUCUGCUUAAGAAGAAAAAGCAUAGAUAAUGGUCUCUAUCUGCUGGAUUCCUGAAAUCUUCUGUACUACCCUAAGCCUUUAUUGCAUCAGCCUCACUGAUUUCAUGUUCCAGGGUUGGUCUUUAGACCAAGAUACUCCAUAUAGUUCACAGUUCACAACUGAACAUCCAGUUUUGCUUUCACUGAAAUGGUUUUACCCAUUUCCUGUAUUUCUCUUACUUUUGUGCCAGUAAGUGGCAAAGAUUUAAAAAAAAUAGAAAUAUUUCAAAUAAGUACUCUCAGCCUCUGGGCCUGAACUUACCUCUAUGUAUACAGCAUUCUCUAUCCUCUAAGAAAAGAUCUGUUUCCACUAUUAAUAUUUUCUUUAUGGAGCAGAGUGUUCAAAGCAGAUGUGUCUAUAUCAGUAUGCCUUAAGGAUGCACAGUUGCCCGUGCUGCUGUGACAGAGGAUAGAAGUAGGAUUCCUCACAUUACACAGUGGUUGCUUUAUUCCCAGCAUCUCUAAAGUCCCAUUUUGACCCUCGAUAAUGCCCUUGCUUCCCCCAUCACUUAAGACUAUCACUUCUAUGAGUAGCAGUAGCAUUUCAGCUCAUGAACUCACAACACUGUAAAGUAUAAGGAAAAUUGUCCCCCAGACCCAGCACAAAGCCAAAGGAAAGCCAUUGUGCUGUUAGUCUGUCAUUGGGUCACUUCCUAUCAAGACUUUCUACAUCUAAGUUAGUUCAGAAGCAAUAAAAAGCAGCAUUAUAUGUGUCAGUACUUGCUGGAAAGUUGUUCAGUUUAUGGCUAAAAUAAAGACUCAGGAUUUAGAAAGAGUCCAAAUCCUCAGUCACGCAGUGUUAUUCAACAGGGUGAAUAAAGAAUCUGGUCAAGUAAAUUACCUGCUCAUGCCAGCUGUUGGCUCUAAUUUUGUGAUUUCCACCAUUGUUGCAUACACAUAUUUAAACUCUCCUUUAAAUGUUUUCUGCUUCAAAGAAAAAGGCUUACCAAAUUUCCACUAAGAAAUCAAGCACCUGAUAAAGUAUUGCAUUUCAAGCACCCGAUUGUUGUCACAAAUCAUUUUUUUGCUGUGAAUAAUAAAGCCCCAAGGAGAUUUUACUCUUA